AGUCCCCAGGAGAGGCUGGUGCAGGAAGGCUCAGACACUGUGUUCUCUGACAUAAUUUAUGGCUUCUAUGAGGCUGUCUUGUAGGAUGCCCAUGACGAUCCUCCAGACACUAAGAUGAGAAAACUAAGGCCCAAAGGGACACCUGGCUUUCCUAAGACCUGUAAGUGGAAGAGUCAGCAUUUGAAUGGAGAACUCGCAGCUUUCGGAGUCUAGACUUGUUUUACCUCACCAGACUGCUUCUACUCCUAGUGAUUCCUUCCCUUAGAUUAAGCCUUGCUCUCUUCCCGUGCAAUCAUGAAGAGGAUUAUAUUAGUAAAUCCCUGAACAUUCCCUGAUUGGGGAGUGAGGGUCAAACCAAGGCAAAUGGCAGGAUUGACACUCACAUCAAGGGCUGGCUCAUUAAGGGCUCGGGACCUGGCGAUCGAGUUGCAUUGCAGAUUUUGGAAGUAUGCAAGACCACGCCAGCCACCUUUCCAGGGAGAGACCAUGCAAAGAAGGCAGGUGAUCCAAGGGCUGGGAGUGGUGAGGACUGCUCCAGCCCCUGAGCAGCUGUCAUCCCAGCACAAAGUGUCAGAAGAGACCUCAAAGUGUGGUCUGCAGACGAGGCAGCAUCUGCAUCACCUGGGAGCUUGUUAGAAAUGCAGAAUCUUCUGAGAGAACCAGACCUGCUGCAUCAAAAUCUGCAUUUUAACAAGAUUGUAACUUAGAUACACAGUAACACUUAAAAAGGAUGGGGCAGAGAGGCUAAGUCAGCAGCUUCUCAUCACACUCCAAUCUGAUGCUGCUAGUGCUCCAAAAAGCUCUCAUAUCCUCACUGACUAGCCUAGGGCUGUGUCUAUCAAUGCAUUAUAUGACACAGAUGAAGACUAUUGUGUACCUUCCUCAAUUUUUACCCCAUUGUUUCAGCCUUUUGUACAUCUUUAAUGCAAACAUCCAUGCGAGAAUUCUUGUGACAUUAAUUUUUUGGAACAACCUGUUUUGCAGAGCAAAUUUCAUUAAGCCAUUUUAAUCCAGAGUUUAAUUUUUUAUACAGCUCGACUCAAUCAUUUCCAUUUUUUUUCCAUUAGAAUGUCUAUUUGUAGUAACAUUAUUUUCAUGGGAUCAAUUAUUUUCUGUUUAAAUUUACAACAGGCAUUUGACUCAUCAGUCUCUUUUUAUAUACCAUCUUUUUGCUGAUUCUGACUUCUGCUAUUUGGAGAGGUUUUCUUGUUUGUGUGUUUGAUUCUUUUGUGGCCAUUCUUUCUAUUAAGUGAAAAUCGUCUGGAUCAAAUUUUGUAGAUUUAAAUUUUGUUAUUAGUGAUACCUGUUUUUUUUCCCUGUCAAUUUUAGCUCAUUACACAUUCUAGUCAUUUUAACCCUGCUAGUUUUGUUAGUUGCUGAUCACUUUUACCAUACCAGUAAUACGUGGUAGAAAUAAUCACCAGAAUGAAAACUCUGCAAAGGCAGGAUUUCUGUCCCUUUUUUUUUUUGUUUUUUUUUUUUUCCUGCCUUAUACUUGAGACUUAGUGCAUGGCACAUAGAAAGUGCUCCAUAUGGCCAGGCGCAGUGACUCACGCCUGUAAUCCUUGCACUUUGGGAAGCCAAGGCAGGUGGAUCACUUGAGGUCAGGAGUUUGAGACCAGCCUGGCCAACAUGGUGAAACCCCGUCUGUACUAAAAAUACAAAACAUUAGCCAGGCAUGGUGGCGGGCACCUGUAGUCCCAGCUACUCGGGAGGCUGAGGCAGAGAAUCACUUGAACCCAGGAGGCAGAGGUUGUGGUGAGGUGAAGUCACACCACUGCACUCCAGCCUGGGUGACAGAGCGAAACUCCAUUUAAAAAAAAAAGAAAGAAAGUACUCCAUAAAUAUUUGUAGGUGGAAAGAAUGAUAUUCACAUAUGAUUUAAUCAAAGACUGACAGUUUAUCUAUUUGAUAAAAAGACUGUGAGAAGCAGAGAUUGAUGGAGACAGGAGAGAAAGUGGAGGAGAAGAGAAGAUGGAGACAGCACACACACAUGCACAGACUUGAACAUGCAGACACACAUUGCACAUGCACAUGCAUGCACACAGCCACACACGUAUACACAAACACACAUGCGUGCACACAGCCACACGUAUACACAAACACAUGCGUGCACACACCACACACAUAUAUGUAAGCACACAUGCAUGCACACAGGCAUACACAUAUACAUAAACACGCAUGCACACAGCCACACACAUAUACACACAAGCAUGCACAUACACAGAGGCAUAUAUACACAUGCACUAACAUACGCAUAGUCACAGAUACACCUGUAGGUGCAAACACCUAUAUAUGUGUUCACAUUCAUACACGGGAGUUAUUAUAUUUGUGCUCACACAUGUAGAGGGUAGAAUUGUGGUUAUUAGAUGCUGGGAAGAGUAGAGGAAGAGAAGAUAGGGAGAGGCUGGUUGGUGGAUACAAAGUUACAGCUGAAUGAGAGAUAAUUUUGACUGUUCUGUAUACUGUAGGAUGAAUAUGGUUAACAAUAACUUAGUGUAUAUUUUCAAAAAGCCAGAAGAGAGGAUCUUGAAUGUUCACAGCACAAAUAAAUGAUAAAUGUUUGAGGUGAUGGAUAUGCUACUCUGAUUUGAUCAUUACACAUUGUAUAAAUGUAUUGAAAAAUCACUCUGUAUCCCAUAAAUAUGUAUAAUUAUUAUGCAUCAACUAAAAAUUAAAGACCACACAUAUAUGCACACAUAGACAUGCACAUGAACACACAUACUCAUGCAUAUGUGUAUACAUGCAGAGUUACACAUAUACACAAACACACAUAUAUGCACACAUAGACAUGCACAUGAACACACAGACAUACUCAUGCAUAUGCGUAUACAUGCACAGUUACACAUACACACACAUGCACACAUAGACAUGCACAUGAACACACAGACAUACACAUGCAUAUGCGUAUACAUGCAGUUACACAUAUACACAAACACACAUAUAUGCACACAUAGACAUGCACAUGAAGACACUAUGCACAUGUCCACACAUGCACACAGCCACACACAUACAUAUAUACACAAAUACCCAUAAAUAUGCACAUGUAGACAGCAUGCACACAGAGAUACAUAUGCACACACACAGCCACAUGUAUACACACUUGUGCAAAUGUAUGCACACACAGACACACAUAUGCCCAUACAUAGGCAUAUACACGUACAGAUUCAGAUAUAAACACAUACAAACACUCAUGUACAUAUGCAAACACAUGUACACACACAGUCUGCUGGCAUAGUGAUGGCUAAACCAAUGCAGGGUAGGGUAAAAUGUCUCUGGUGCAAGGUCAGUAGGAUAAAAUCUGCAGGAUCAAAUGGAAUGCUUAACAACACUCCUCUGUGGGGUAUCAGUGUCUCCAUUUUACAACCAGUGCUUAAUCAAAUGCACAUUGAGUUGAACUGAAUAUUGGAAAAUGAAUUGCUACCUUUGAAUGAAUCUACUGAAAAAUUAUACUUGUCCUGGGUCAGACCGUGUGAAAAGCACUGGGUAUUGGAGAUGAAAAGUGGUUGGCCCUUUUUCUUUGAAAGCUUAGUCCAGUGGGGAAGAUGGAUGUGGAAGCUGAGCAAUUAAAAUGCAGCUUGAUAAAAGCUGUGCUGAAAAACCCUCACUGAGCUGAGCAGUGGGGGCUGGGAGGGAGCAGGUCUUAAACUGAAUGAUCAGGUUUAGUGGGAGCUGUUUAAAUUCUGAGCCAUCAGGCAUUUUUGCUGGAUUCCUUUCGGUGCGCUUGUUAAUCAAUUAUAAAAUAAUAAUAAUGAACACUUCAGGAGAGAGGAUGGAGGUUGAAAGACAGUGGAGGGCUGGACUUGAGGUUGGAAGAUUUGCAGAGACCUGGAUUGUGCAUUCGACCUUUACAAAUUGAAGCGAGAGGCUUUGCAUCUCUGAACAUCAGGAUUCCACUCUAUAAAAAGGAGAAUGAAAGCAUUCAGUUUAUAGGUUUGCUGUGAGGGCUCAACGAGAAUGUGGAUCCAAAAAAGCUUUGGAAACCAAAAUACCGCUAGUUAGCUUGCUGCUUUAUUAUCCAAAAGAGGCUGCAAAGAUUUGAGGUUUGUUUGUAGUUUGUUUGUAGAUUAGUCAGUGUCUACUAAAAUAACACUGUGUAACAACCAUGCCCAAAUCUUGGUGGCUUAAUACCUUAAACGUUAUUUUUCUCAUUCAUGAGGCUGUAGGUGGGUUGGAAUUUGGCAGAUGUAGGCUGGAAUUAGCUGGACCUGCCUCCAGGACCAGGGUUGGACCCAAGUCUUCUGUACGUGUCACCUUCUUUUGGUGCCAGUGCUACCUGGGAUUUUAAUUUCAUGGUUUUGCAGAAGCGUAAGAGGGCAUGCCAACCACGUGAACACUUUUAAAGCCUAACAUCCUAUAGGCCAAAGCCAGCCACAGGUCCAAACUCAACUUCAAUAGGCAGGGAAAGUCCUCCACCUACUUUACCAGGGGAGUACUGCAGAGCAAUGACCGAGGAAGGAAAUGUUUAAUCCUAUUAGGGAGGGAGGGGGGGACCAGGAACACAAAUCCCUCAAGGCAGGACGAGUAAUGGUUGGCUGCCCAAGGUUGACAGACUGGGUCUCAGUUCCUGGCACUGCUCCUCUCUAGCCAUGAGACUUUAGGCAAGUCAACAUUUCAGAGCCUCAGUUUCCUCAUCUGUAAAGUGGGUAUAAUAAUAGAAUUCUCACAGAAUUUCAGUGAGGAUUGCCUGAUUCAUGACAACAGCCUUAUAAGUGGUCCCCUUCUUUUACCUCGCAUCUUCUGUAAUCUCUUCUCUAUGCUUCAUCCUUUAAAUACAAAAGUCACCCGUAAAGACAGAAAACAGAUUAGUGGUGGCCAGAGGUGGUGGAGGGAGAGAGGGGGAGAAAUGAGAGAAGUGCUAAGGGGUAUGAGGUUUCCUUUUGGGGCGAUGAAAAUGUUCUAAAAUCGAUGUGGUUAUGGUUGUACAACUGCAAAUAUACAAUCCCUCUGCCUGGAACCUUUUCCCCAAGAAAUCUGCCCCCACCGUAAAUCCUCACUUGCAUACUGUAUAAUGAGGCUUUUCUGGACCACCCUAUUUAAUUACCCACUCCUUUCUGUCCAUGCCUCUCUCUCGAUAUAUUUUCUCUGAAUGUUUGUAGCAACUUGACAUAUUUUGCAUGCUUAUACACUAUGUACUUUAUAUUAAAGCACAGUUAUGUAAUUUAUUUCUCUGGUCCUUUCACCUCCUUUCCUCCCUCCCUGAAAUAUGCCAGUAGAAUGUAACCUUCAGGAAGGCAAGGAUAUUUACCUUCUGGGUUUGCUGCUGUCUCCCUAGACAGCUCCUGGCACACAGUAAGCCUUUUAAAAAUAUUUGUUGAAUGCAUGAUAUAAGCCAUAUAAUGCUUAGUAGGUGCUCAGGGCUGAGGAACAUAAUUGAUGUUAGCUUUUAUUAUCUUUAUUUACUUCAAAUAACCUACUUAAUUGGGAAAUUUUCCGGGUCUGGAGGGACUCUGAGUUUGAGUCCAGUAUCUUCCCUGGGAGUCCUUGCUUGCACAAAUGUGUGGGAUAGACUCCCGCUGUGUCUGUGGACUCAACGUCUCAGCUCCAGGCUCUUUGCUGCCAGGCAUAGUGAGCCGUGACAUUUAUAAAUCUCUGGGCUCUUAAUCCCCUGCUGAUCCUCGGAGAGGAGUAGACAUUUGUUGCUAAACACAUUGCCCCACUUUGAACAAAGAAACGAAGAGAUACCCCAAGCAUCAAUACAACAGCUGCCUGCGAUGGCUGUGACGUCCCUUCUAUCCUAAGGAGGAGGGUACUGGGACUCAGUCCUGUGCACUGACCUGCCCCACUCACCUGGCUGGUGAGGGGUGCAGUUACUACCUUUGGAACACAUAUCAUUGGGUUUUUGUAUUGCAUUCUUCUGUCUCUGAGCAGAUCUGUUUGUUUAAUGGUCUCUUCCUCACAUUCAGCUCAAGCCUGUAAAUCCUUCGUAUAAAUUCUGCCUGCUCCUUGAUACCAAUCUGUUCUCCUCCAAGUAAAUCUUUUAAAGACAAUACUCCAGCAGCACCGGGAGAACAUUUCCUGCAAAAUCAUGCCCGGAAGCCCCUGUUAGCAUGCAAAUAUGCCCCUUUGCAGCAUGUUCUGAUUGUAACUCGUGAUGCACAGUGCAGAGAAUUAAGCCGGGUCCCUUCCUCAUCAGUCACCAUUUAAUGGAGACUGAAUGGUUGUGGAUACUUUUGUUAGGGUCAUCAAGAAGGUUUGCCAUGCUUGGCUUGGUAAGGAGGAGGUUGUGUGCUCCUGUAAGACAAACCUAGCACUUUAUAGGCUCCCAAAAGCCCAUGGUAGUUACAGGAGCCAUGAAAAACAAACAUGUAGACAUUCAGUAGUGGUCUCAGGAACCCCUAUUGGCAAACUCACCAUUUAUGGAAAGACCUGGAGGGCAGUGUCUUUGGCCAUGACAUGAAACAGCCCAGUAAGCUGCAAAGGCCAGAUUGAAGAGAGCUGUUGAAAAUUCAUUUGCUUGCUAUAGGCUGGCUUUUUAUUUCAUUUUAUUUUAUUUGUUUAUUUAUUAUGUUUUUUAGCAAACCAUCUGAAAUGGGAUGAGAGAGCCAUAUUUGGGCAUACCACCUAUUGGACCAGCAGUUCUACAGAGGCGAGGGUCCAUUUUUUGUUUUGCAGAAGCCUCUCUGUCAGCAGUUCUCAAAAGGAAAGGAGUUUAUUUAUCUUCAGUUCAGCAAAAUUUACUAAGUGCUGACAAUGGGCUAAGGGGAUAGAGACGAAGAAGGAGAUUCUUGCCCUCCAGAAAUUUACAGCCCAACAUAAUGUAAACACUUUUCUAUACAACACUUGCAAAUAGUAAUUGUGUGGAAAUUCAAAUGGUGGACUUACAUGUUAUCAGACUCUGUGUGUGUGCAUAUGUGCAUGUGUGUGUAGGUCACUCCCUAAAGAAUGACAAAUAUGCUAAGAUUUUAGUUACUCCUUGCUUUUUUUGUCCCCCCUCCUCGUUUUUUAACCUUUAUUGAAGUAUCAUUCACAUACCGCAGACUGCAACCACUUCAAGUGUAAAGCUCAGUGACUAUUAAUAUAUUUACAGAGUUGUGCAACCAUAACUGCAAUCUUAUUUUAAGUAAUUUCUACCUCCCCAGAAAGAAGCCUUGUGCCCAUUUGAAGUCCCUCUCCUUCCUAACCCCAGCCUGAGGCAACUACUAAUCUAUUUUCUGUCUCCAUGGAUUUUCCUUUUCUGCACAUUUUAUGUAAUGAAAUCAUGCCAUAUGUGGGUUUUUGUGCCUGGUUUCUUUCACUUAGCAUAAUGUUUUUUGCAGUUUAUCCAUUAGACACACUCGGAAGCAGUAUUUCCAGUAUCAGUCUAUGCUCUCAUUUUGUCCUUUUCCUUUUACAAUUGAAGGCGCAAUUAACUGGCCUAAAUUCGAUGAAGUUAAAGGUUGGCCAUUUGUGGCGUGCUUACUCAAUUCAAUCUCGGCUGAGAUUUGAUCCCUUAUUAUUACAUUAGUGCUUUUUACUUUUCUGUUUUCAGUUACUUUUUAUAAAAUAGUAAGAGUGGAAGAUAAUGAAACGGCUAAAUAAAUCUUAUCGAGAGAUAGUGAAGGUGCUGGAGCUUCCUCACUGAGCAAACAGAACUACAGUAAAAUGAUAACUCAUGAAAAAAUUAAAGUUGGACAUAUGCAUUGGAUUUAGGGGCACCAGCGCACAAUGUGUGAAAGUGCAGCUUGCUCAAAACUUGAAGGUGUGAAUGUCAGAGACUACCUGUGAAUCUCGUCAUCAUUGUCAUCAUUCUCAUAACGAUAAUAGCAAUUCCCUUUUCUGAGUGCAUGGUAUGUGCUAUUCAGUUCCCACACAUUUCCUCAUUGAAUCCUCACAACUGCUAUUGGAGGAAUAUAUUAUUUUUAUUAUUAUUUUCAUUUUACAGAUGGAGACAAUGAGUCCCAGUAAAUUUAAAGACACAUGCCUAAGACUGAGAACCCAAAAUAUCUGAGACAGGUCUCAGUCAAUUUAGAAACGUUUAUUUUGCCAAGGUUAAGGACGUGGUCGGCACAUAGCCCAGGGAGGUCCCGAUGACAUGUGCCCAAGGUGGGCAGGGCACAGCUUGGUUUUAUACAUUUUAGGGACACAUGAGACAUUAAUCCAUAUGUGUAAGAAGUACAUUGGUUCAGUCCAACGUGGAACAACUCCAGGUAGGGAGGGGCUUCCAGGUCAUGGAUAGACAAGAGACAAAAGGUUGCAUUCUUUUGAGUCCUUGAUCAGCCGUCCACUGAACACAGUGUUCAUUCCUGGGCAUAGGCCGAACUAACUUUGGGAAGGAAUUCAGUUCAUGGUUUGACUCUGAAACAAAAUUGAUAAUAACCCUUUCCCAAAAAGACCCUCUUCUUGCUCGGGGACCAGUCUGCCUUUGCAAGACUAACAAGUUAGCUACAAGAUUAGAAAUUACAGUUUAGGGGUCAUGCAGCCUCUGGCUCCAAGAGUCUGAACCUCCUCAAAUUGCUCCUGGGGAUAACAUCACUAUUGUAAAACCUAAGAUCAGUGCUUGAGAUAUUUUGCAGACCGUGCACUCCAUGGAUCAGCUGACACCAUGCAGACCAGUAAUCUGGCUCAAUCAGUUCUGCCGUCUCAUCCAGGAACAGCAAGAAAACCUCACUUCAACCCCCUAGGACUCCAUCUCCAACCUGACCAAUCAGCACUCCUCACUUCCCGAGCCCAUACCCCCCAAAUCCCCGAAUGCUUGGGGAGACUGAUUUGAGUAAUAAUAAUUAAACUCCUGUCUCCCGCACAGCUGGCUCUGUGUGAAUUACUCUUUCUCUAUUGCAAUUCCCCUUCCUUGAUAAAUUGGCUCUGUCUAGACAGUGGGCAAAGUGAACCUGUUGGGCAGUUAGAAAAGGAGCCUGAGAGAUGGGUUGAGGGCGGGUAGAGAAAGUAAUGACUGUGAUCAGACCCCGCUGAGAGAUUUGCCAUUGUCAUGAAGGUAAGAGGGAGACGUUGAGGAAUUUUAAGUGCAGAUGUGAUGUGAACAGAUUUGAGUUUUACAAAAGUGAAUUCCUGGUGGUAAUAACGGUGCCUUGGAUCAAAGUUCUCAAUUCCAAGUAGCAGGUGAGCAUCUCAGAAAAGAUACAAAGCUUCGGACCAAGGUUUCCUCUCUUCUCUUCAGCAGGAAUCACAGUUUGGGGAACUAAACUUGCCAAGGAGAACUUCAGGUUUCUAGAAUCCGAGGCUGAUGAAGAAAGAAUGUUGGGGCAGAUUUUGACAGGGGUCUAAGCUUUGCCUAAUCACACUGCCCGAAUGAGCAGCCACUGCUGAUGAAUUCUCAUUUUCUUAACUGGCAAAGCCUUCUUGGCACAAAAAAAGUGUUUAUGGUUUUUCUUAAAAAAGCGUUUAGUGCCUCUGAGUUGAGAAGGCUGGUGUACUGAGAUGUGGCAUCUCUUUUCUUGUAAAAGUUAAGGGGCUUUUUUCAGUCACUUUAUAGUUUGUUUUAUUGAUGGAGAAAGGGAAAGUGAUAAAAUAUUCUUGUCUUCUAAAAUUUCUGUCCUUUGGCAACAAGGAUGAGAAGGUAUAUGUCCCGGUAAAUUUUUGGGUUACAAAAUAAUCCCUUCUCUUAGUGCUCUACUGACUGAGUUACCACAGUGCUUCCCAUACACUGUCGCCUCAGGCAAGUUGUUUAAUUUUUCCAGGCCUCAGUUGCUUAGUCUGUGAAAUGGGAAUAUGAACACCAAUACCACCUACUUCUUAGAAGUAUUAUGAGGAUUAGGUAUCUAAUAUUUGUAAA
rnacentral:lncRNA from 1 species